AUACGGAGGGGGUUAGCGUUGUUCGGAAUUACUGGGCGUAAAGCGCACGUAGGCGGAUUGGAAAGGUGGGGGUGAAAUCCCAGGGCUCAACCCUGGAACUGCCUCCAAAACUAACAGUCUAGAGUUCGAGAGAGGUGAGUGGAAUUCCAAGUGUAGAGGUGAAAUUCGUAGAUAUUUGGAGGAACACCAGUGGCGAAGGCGGCUCACUGGCUCGAUACUGACGCUGAGGUGCGAAAGCGUGGGGAGCAAAUAGGAUUAGAAACCCUAGUAGUCC
rnacentral:rRNA from 1 species